GGAGGGCGAGGGGAGGAGAAAGCGGCGCGCGGGGAGCCCGGCCGCGCUCAGCCGCUCCUCACCUGGGCCGCCGCCGCCGCCGCGCCGUUUCCGUGCUGCUGCUGUUGCUGCUGCUGCUGCUGUAGAUACUCGCCGUGGCCGCCGCCGCCUCCGCCGCCGUCCACGUCCAAGGCGGGCUGGCUGUGGGCGGCAGUGGCAGCGGCGGAGGCAGCGAGGGUUGCUCUCUCUCGGCUUUACGUACCGGUCAUAGUGUGUUUAGGACAGCUCAGGCGGGGCUCCCCGCCGCCUUACACAUGGUUUGUACUUAGUGGUGUAUUAACACCCCUUCCUUUGACAUCCUCAAUGCCUUGCAGUCAGUCAUUCAGGAGAAAAAAGUGUUCUGCAAACAACAGACAGAACGUUGUCUAUUACCUCUAGAUACUUUUGCUUAAGAAAGGUUGAAUUUAAGAGUAGGAAACACUAUCCACAAUACUUUUAUUAGAAAUCUACCUCAAGCAAGAAUAAACAUCCCAAUUAUUGUACUUGUAUGUUUUGUAUGAGGUUGAAGGCAAAGCAUUUAAACUAGCUUUGUAUACACGAACUUGAAAAUUCAUGGGGGGGAGGGGCAGUGCAUACAUCGGUUUCAGAAGCCUUUUUGGACUUGUUUUUUUGUUUUUUGGUUUUUUCUCGUUGGUUGUGGUUUUUGUUUUCAAGACAGUUUCAUGUGUAGCCUUGGUUGUCCUGAAACUGGAUUUGUAGACCAGGUUCACCUGGAACUCACAGAAACCCACCUGCCUCUGCCUCCUGAGUACUGGGAUUAAAAGUGGGGGCCAUCUCCGCCAACUACUUCGUGGUAAUUUUUAAUACAGUGACACAUGUUCUCUUUCUCUUGUGUCAUGCAAGCAAGAACAGUCUUUCAGGGCCAAAAACCAGAUAACUCAAACUAGCUGUUUUGAGGCAAAGCUCUUAAAAAUGCACAUCAGUGCUGGGCGGUGUUGACACACGCCUUUAAUCCCAGCACUUGGGAGGCAGAGGCAGGCGGAUUUCUGAGUUCAAAGCCAACCUGGUCUACAGAGUGAGUUCCAGGACAGACAGGGCUACACAGAGAAACCCUGUCUCGAAAAAACAAAAACCAAAAAAAAAAAAAAAAAAAAAAAAAGAAUGAACAUCAGCAAGAGUAUGACUCAGCAUAAGGUGAGAUUCAGUAGACUUCUCCAACCACAGUUGAGUCACUGUGACACCCUAUGUUAAGAUGACCAAAAGCAAAAUGGUCUCUUGCAAGAAUACUUAUUUCUUAACUAGUGCAAAUACACUAAAGUAUAUGCAAAGCAUAAAGCCGGUAUUUAGAUAAAUACAUGUAGUAACAUACAGUAUAAUUUACGGUGGAUUAAUAUGUUUUUGUACAGUCAUUAAAUGAGAAUCAAGUAUUAUCAUGAACAAAUCUCGAAACAACAGUAAGAUCUGUUUUCCCCUGUCCCCACGACUUGGCCCAGUUUCUUGUUUUCUCUCAAGAUUUUCACAAGCUAUUCCUGGCCAAGAAACAAAACCAGAUCACCCUAUUCCCCAGUAGACUAGGACAAAGUUGGUAAUAACAUCAGCUACAACUCCAAGAGAAGGAAAUCAAGCUUAGUCUGUAAGGUACCUCACUGACUAGCUAGAAACGUUAUAUGGUGUCAUGGUCAGCGAUUAGUCUACCAUAUCAAACUAAAAUGGAGGUACUAUGGGGGGGGGGGGGGGUUUGGGCUCUGAAUUUUUUCUUCAUCUAAUGAGUAGGUUCAGAAUAUGUAGACCUGUGCUAAUUAUUAAAGGAUAUUUUAAAACAUACUAAGUUGUGACUAUAUACGGAUAUACAUAAUAACUGUUAGUGUUAGUUUUACUUGUCAAUUUAACACAAUCUAGAAUUACCUGAAAAGACAGUCUUAAUGAGGGAUUAUCUGGAUCCGUCUGACCUGUGUCUAUGAGGGACUGUCUUCAUUAAAUUAACUGAUAUGGAAAGACAUAGUCCACUGUGAGUGGCACCGUUUCCUUCAUUUAUUUGGGUCCUGGACCAUAUAAGAGCAGAGACAAUAGGCUGAGCUGUAAACAUGCAAGCAUUCAAUUCUCUUUUAGUAAGGAUUCGAUGUGACCUAAAGUCCAAUAUGACUGAAGUUCCUGCUUCCUUGGGUUCCCUUCUAGAAAGGACUGAAAUAAAUUUUUCUUCUUUUAAAGUUGUUCUUUGUCAGGGUAUUGUAUCACUGCAACCAGAAAUGAUAGCAAUACAGAAAUUCACUGUAAGUCUUCAAGAUGCUAAGUUUUAAACAGUUAAGGACAAAAGUGAGGACCAGCCAGAUGGCUUAGCAGAUCGGGAGGGCUUGUAGCCAAACCUGACAACACUUCAGUCGCAGGAAUCCACAUGAUGGAGAAACUGUCCCUCAAGUUGUCACCUUACCAUGACACGUGCUGUAGUAUAAAGCACAAAUUCCAUAAAUGAGGAAAAUGAGAUUUAAAUGGAAUUCCUAGGUGUUGUGCUUACAUGUCCAAGUUUUAGUUAAGUUAGGCUGAGGGUAUCACCAUACUUCAUAUUGUGUUAAUAUUACGCAAUCCUGUUUUAACCUUUUUAAACAAAUGAGUACCUGUCGAGACAGUAAAACAAGCAUGUCCUGACUGACCAGGAAGAGUCAGUGACUCCAUAUGACGAAGGCUCCAGCCUUAGCCACUAGAAAAUUGGACUGAAAUGAGGACUGGGAGCAACUCGGAGACAGUUGAGGCAUACAGGCUUGUACUCAGGGUGGGGAAGAGGGUACUUAGUGAAUUUUAAUGAGAGUUUUGCCUAUUAUACAUUACACAUUAUAACUGUCAAAGACAUAAGAUAAAACAUUUCAAGUCCCCUUUUGUCUUUAUGGAAGAAUCUGAACAUCUAUUAAGAAUCAAGAAGAAAAUAUUUGAAUCACAAUAGUGAAAACUCAGGAGCUGUAAUCCAUAAAUGAUGUUCUACUAUAGAUAAAUUAUACUUGAUUUUAAAAUGUAUUUUAAUUUUAUGUGUAUGGAUGUUUUGUCUGCAGGUAUGCCUGCUGCUCAUGGAGGGAAGAAGUGAGCUUGUAAUCCCUUUGGAGCUAGAGUUACAGAUGGCUAUGAGUUGCCACAGGGAUCCUGGAGAUUUGACCGAGGUACUUUGGAAGAGUAUCCAUUGCUCUCGACUUCUGCCAUCUCUGCCAUCUCUCCAGCCUCUAGUUUCUUUGAUGAUACAAAUAAAUACAUCAGUAAAUUCCUCACUCUAAAAAACCCCAGCUGAACCCCGUUGGAGGGUGGGGUGAUACAGAUCUCUAGAGAGUAUCUCAUCGGCUAUUUCUUGUAGAAACUGUGGAGUUUCAGUCUGUUGGUGCAUGCCCACGUGGAGCCAGAAGACCACUCACAGGUUGAUCCUCUUGUUCCACGAUGUGAGUUGCAGAUAUCAAACUCAGGUGGCCAGGCCUGGCAGCAAGCUCUUCUGGCCGUUCAGCCAUCUCACUGGCCCUGUGGAAAUCUUUUGAAGAAGAUGGACUCACAUGAGCACAAGUUCAGAAAUGAAUAGUUUGAAAGUAGGUUCUUGGAAAAUAAAUAAAUAAAUAAAUAAAUAAAGACAAUGGAAUGGAAAGAAGCAAAUCUCCUGCAAGCUUGUUUAAUAUACACUAACAGUGAAUACAUUAGAAGGCCAGAUGAAUAAACAGA
rnacentral:lncRNA from 1 species